AACGUAGGUGGCGAGCGUUAUCCGGAAUUACUGGGCGUAAAGCGUGCGCAGGCGGUUAUGUAAGACAGGUGUGAAAUCCCCGGGCUUAACCUGGGAACUGCAUUUGUGACUGCAUAGCUAGAGUACGGUAGAGGGGGAUGGAAUUCCGCGUGUAGCAGUGAAAUGCGUAGAUAUGCGGAGGAACACCGAUGGCGAAGGCAAUCCCCUGGACCUGUACUGACGCUCAUGCACGAAAGCGUGGGGAGCAAACAGG
rnacentral:rRNA from 1 species